GACGAACGCUGGCGGCGUGCCUAAUACAUGCAAGUAGGACGCAGUUGCGAACGGGUGAGUAACGCGUAGGUACCUGCCUAUUAGAGGGGGAUAACUAUUGGAAACGAUAGCUAAUACCGCAUACUAGUAGAUGGACCUGCGUUGUAUUAGCUAGUAGGUCGGGUGAUGGCCUACCUAGGCGACGAUACAUAGCCGACCGUGGGGGGUGAUCGGCCAACCUGGGACGUGGACACGGCCCAGACGUCUACGGGAGGCAGCAGUAGGGAAACUUCGGCAAUGGGGGGAAACCUGACCGAGCAACGCCGCGGGAGUGAAGAAGGUUUUCGGAUCGGAAAGCUCUGUUGUUAAGGAAGCGGUACUUAACCAGAAAGGGACGGCUAACUACGUGCCAGCAGCCGCGGUAAUUC
rnacentral:rRNA from 1 species